GGUAAGGUGGCCGAGUGUCAGGCGGUGGAUUGUAGCCCCAUAAACAGAGGUUUAAAUCCUCUCUUUACCA
rnacentral:tRNA from 1 species